GAACAGGGAAGGACAACAGCGGUUUCGUUUGCCCGCCUUGCAGUUGGCUCAACACUUCGGGCUGCUGCCACAAGAGCCGCCCCCGACCGAAUACUCGCUGAAAGCCGGCCUAUCCGCUGCGCUGUCCUCGUUUGCAGCCCGAUCUGAGUGCGCAUGGGCCGCGGUACCAGUCCUCCAGUGCACACAGAAGAGGAGGGGGGGAAGUACAAGGCAUGCCUGGACCACAGGAAAUCGGAAUGUUUGAAAAGAAAUGAACAUAAUGGAAGAAACAUUACGGCACAUCUUUACGCUGCACCACAACUGAAACAUUUUAAAUUGAAUAACUGUUUUGCAAAACAAAUGUUUAGACUCCUUACUGCAACACAAGUCACAAAAUUAAUCCUUAAAAUAAAAGUAAAACAUCUCAUGGUACAAAAUAAUUAUAAUUAUUCAUUCUUUGUGUAUCACUUUGAUGUUCCUACGGGAGCUGAUUAUCUAUAAUAGCACAUAACAAAAUAUGUGAGUACAUUUAAAUUUUAUAAUCUGCAAAAUAAUAA